UACGGGGGGUGCGAGCGUUGUCCGGAAUCACUGGGCGUAAAGCGCACGUAGGCGGAUAUUUAAGUCAGGGGUGAAAUCCCGGGGCUCAACCCCGGAACUGCCUUUGAUACUGGGUAUCUCGAGUCCGAGAGAGGUGAGUGGAAUUCCGAGUGUAGAGGUGAAAUUCGUAGAUAUUCGGAGGAACACCAGUGGCGAAGGCGGCUCACUGGCUCGGCACUGACGCUGAGGUGCGAAAGCGUGGGGAGCAAACAGG
rnacentral:rRNA from 1 species